UUUGGUGGUCCUCAAAAACCCGUCCUUUAAUUAGUUCUCCGCUCUGCCACUAGCAUCGCAUGGGUCAAAAAGAUCGUAAAUAUAUAUUAAGUGACCGAUGGCAUCGGUCACCCAUCCCACCCAUCCGUGCUUGCGCAGUAGAAUGAAAAGUGACUAUUUUUGUUUUAUCAGUGCUUGCAUGGAGACUAGGGUAAGUUUAAUUUCGAUUUUUCAUCGUACGAUUCAACGUUUUCUUCUCUGAGUAAGAAUGCCGAAGACUUGUGGUGUACCAGGAUGCGACAGCGGGAAAUAUCAAGAUCGCUGCGGCCCAUUUCUCUGUUUGCCGUACCUAAGAGUGACCAUCGACUCGAAGUAUGGAAAAAUGCUUUGAAAUACGAUCUUAUAAAAACGCAGCACAUUUGUCAGCUGCACUUUGCAGACAAAUACAUUCGGAAGAGCGAGACGAUUAAAUUGUUCGAUGAUACAAUCAGCUGUGUAUCUCGCGACCAUUGGUCUUUAGAAACUAAAGCUGUACGAAUGCUGCUCGUUCAACCUACGGAACGAAGCGAACAUUUUAGAACAACAACGUUCCUGUCGCGGAUAGUGUCAUGGAGCACGACGGCAUGGUCGAAUCAAUCGAUCGAGUUGGUGAGGAGGAGAGCAUUUUAAAUGACAGUUCUGCCAAUAACAGCCUGGGGAUGGAAUCUAGUGAGAUUCUAGAAGGAAUGGUCCAUGAAAAGAUCACACGAGAAUGUAACUGCAAACGGCAAUCCAACAUUCUCAAUUCAUGAUUUGAAAGGUGAAUUGUGUUUGGCCUUAUCACCGGAGUCAUGGGCUUGGAGUCAGCAAGGCUCAGACGUUUUAUUUACGUAUUUCGAUCGAUUAGACUUUUCUGUCCAGCUGCACUUUCUUGUUCAUCAACAUCUCUAUACACAAUCAGAGUAUUUCGAACAAAAUUAUCGAUUUCAAGGACACCAUAAAGUCUACGGCCGACAUUCUCAGCUACAUGAACACAGUGAAAAACUUGUCUGUUUGCAGGGGGACGGACAUUGGAAAUGAAAAGUGCAAUCCUGAAUGCAUGGGAAUUCUCGAUGAUACUGAAUCGUACAAACAUACGGUGCAGCGUCUAUGGUGUAUCCGUUGUCAGCGGCUUCGCAAAAAGUUAUUGCAAAUAGAGAAAAAAAUUGUUCUUCAGAAGAAAUAUGAGGAGUCAAAAUAUACACUGCACAGUUGCAGCGACGAAAGUAUCUCUGUUCGCAAUGGAAGAUUAAGGUGAUGAAGGCAAAUAUAGAUUCCAGUGUGUUGGAAAAUAAUAUUUCCGGUUUUCCGGAUGCGCAACAAGAAGCGAUUAAAUCGUGCUUGGAGGCCUCCAAAGUUAAAUCUCCCAACAGGCAGAGAUACUCAACCAACUGGAUAUACGAAUGUUUGUUGAUGCGGAUAAAAAACGCAGCCCUGUACGAACAUCUAAGGGAUCGACAAAUUUUACCAGUUCCCUGCCGCAAAACGUUGAACAGAUAUAUUCAAAAGAUUAGCUCGUCGACGUACGGAUUUCAGGAAGCUAUCUUCGAAGACUUACGGAAAAAAGGAUCGCAGAUGGAAAAAUCUUUUAAAAGAGGUACCCUCCUAGUCGACGAGAUGAAGUUGAGUGAGGCAAUUUCAUUUGGCCAGAAGACAAUGGAGUUUGGAGGUUUCGUCGAUUUAGGGAAAUAUACUCCGGAAAACAAAAAGCAACAAGAGCAGACCACGCGCUCGUCUUUAUGUUUCAACCAUUUCGAGGCAUCUGGUUGUUCUCGCAACAAAUUCGUGCCGCUAUGGAAGUUUACGAACAGACAUGCCCGCAAUUGAAAGAUUCCAAACCAACGAGGGCUUUUUCUGAGCGCGUUCACAAUGUAAUCAUGGCGAUGAUGUUCAGAACGCCUCUCAAUGCGCUUCCUCUAUCCGAAUCCUGUCCACAAAAGAAGCAAUCUUUAACUGCCAGCUUCUAAGAGGUUCCCCAAGACGAAUUUGGACAUUCAACGUUGGAUUUCCAAUCAUCGUCAUUUAUACGUUCUCGUACCAUGGUGGAGACUGUGCUGAGAUUGUUUUCUAUGUUGUUCAAUUCAAUAAACUGUCGUUCGGAUAAACUCGUUCAUUUAUUAGAGGAUUGCUGCUCACUAUCUAAUGAUCUUUCAGAUCGGUAAUACUUCCUUCGGACGAUCGAUGUGGACUGUCUUGACAUGACAUUAUCCAUGAUCCUGAAUUGAUGGCUUGACCUUUUUGUUUUCCUUGCAUGAAUGUCUGCUCACUCUGGAACCCUGGUUGAAGUAAUCCUACCUGGUGGUGCUGAUUUUUUUUUAUGUGCUCCGGGCGUAUAAUAUUCAUUUAUACAUUGCGUUUCUUCGUCCAUCUGUGUGUUCGUAUGUUCUUUUCGUUUCUUGUCUGGGAGCAUUACAUCGAUGUUUAUUUUGUCUCUUUUAUCCAGCUGUGUGUCCAUGUGAUUUUUUGCGCUCCGGGAGCGUAACAUCGAUUUUUAUUUUAUGCUGUUUUUAUGUAUUUCUGUACAAUAAUCUCCCAUUCCAAUUUGUAUAACACUCACCUCAUCACAUUAUUAUAUUUUUUUCGAUAUUUACUGGGUCUGUUAUUUUAACACUUGCAGUAGUAAUUACUUUGUUAAUUAUGCUGCUUCCUAAUGCUUCCUCACAAUAAUCAUUUUUCCAUUCAUUCCUGCUAUACUAAAUAGGCCAUUUCAAGCUUCCUCGCGUACUUGAAGGAAUGGGAGUCAUCAGUUUCUUCGCUAAAAGAACUGCCAAUAUCGUCAAGUACCUUGAAAGGUUUGAAAGUGAUCCUGGGAGCUACCCUCGAAAUCUUGGAUGCCUUGCCAUCACGAUCCACUUUUGAGUACCUUAUGACCGCACGACUAAACCAAGACGCUUUGGAAAGGAUUUUUAGUAUGACGCGCAAAGCCUGUGGUAGAAAUGACCAUCCUGAUCCGCAGUUCUUCGCUCAAAUGUUUUGAUUGUUGUGCAGCCACUCGUUAGUAAAGCCUCGAAGAGGGAGUAACGUCGAAGGACAUGAGCUGCUCGAAACACUAAUGCAGACGACAGGUUCGUUGGCUGCUGCAUCAAAACCACGCACUGAAUGGUUGCAAACCAUUGACGACAUGCUGGAACAACAAGUACGUGCCGACGAAGCACCCAUGGAAACUUACCAGCGGGAUCAUGAUUACUAGGUUCCAUUGUCGAUGGAUUUUAGCACGUGGAAGGACAGCACGCACGACCAUACGUACGUCACACGUACAAGUGCAGAAGUACAAUGUUACAUAGCUGGUUACGUUGCCCCAACAAUGAUGACGAAGCUGAAAUGCUGCGACUGCAUAAAUUCCUUAAAAUCUCGUGAACCAGGAGUUACUGAUCCGACUCAUGCAGCCAUAAAUCUUCUGGAGAAAUUUGGAGGGUUGAUCCGGCCUAGUGAGCCCUUGUUUCGGUUGACCGAAUGCAUGGAAUCAACUGUAUUGGACGUUACUGGUAAAUUCGGUAUACACGUCGAUAUGAUCCACACCAUUCUCCAGAGAGCAUCGGAAAUUCAAAAUCUACAAUGGUUGGUUAUGCUGAUCACUACAUGAGUUGCACAAGAAAGAUCAUUGACUUUUAUAUAAUUAUGAGAGCUUGUUUCCUUGUCAAAUCGUACAACGCCAACCAGAAUGAGAGUCGUAUAAAAACGAAACGACUCCGCAAGAACGCGAAGCUUUAGAUGCUACGUUGUGAAUACUCGAAGAUACCGUUGAAACUCAAUUCUAACCUUCAAUACGCGAUGCUCAUCAAACCGGUCAUGUCGAUUGACGAUUUGGAUGGGAUAUUUACUGAUUACCGUUGAAUAUAAAAUCGAUUACGUCCUGGGAGUUAAGGAUUAGGUUGUUGGUGAGAGCCUUUUCCAAAAUCUCGACGAUUUGGAUCUUGAUGAUAAGGAUGACAAAGAUGAUCUGGAUAAUGCUUUGAAUAAAGAAACUAGACUU